rnacentral:rRNA from 1 species
GACGAACGCUGGCGGCGUGCCUAAUACAUGCAAGUAGAACGCACAGUUUAUACCGUAGCUUGCUACACCAUAGACUGUGAGUUGCGAACGGGUGAGUAACGCGUAGGUAACCUGCCUGGUAGCGGGGGAUAACUAUUGGAAACGAUAGCUAAUACCGCAUAAUAUUAAUUAUUGCAUGAUAAUUAAUUGAAAGGUGCAAUUGCACCACUACCAGAUGGACCUGCGUUGUAUUAGCUAGUAGGUGAGGUAACGGCUCACCUAGGCGACGAUACAUAGCCGACCUGAGAGGGUGAUCCGCCACACUGGGACUGAGCCACGGCCCAGACUCCUACUGGAGGCAGCAGUAGGGAAUCUUCGGCAAUGGACGAAAGUCUGACCGAGCAACGCCGCGUGAGUGAAGAAGGUUUUCGGAUCGUAAAGCUCUGUUGUAAGAGAAGAACGGGUGUGAGAGUGGAAAGUUCACACUGUGACGGUAUCUUACCAGAAAGGGACGGCUAACUACGUG